GACGAACGCUGGCGGCGUGCUUAACACAUGCAAGUCGAACGGGAUUUAGUAGACAGAAGCCUCGGCUAAAGAUUACUAAUGAGAGUGGCGAACGGGUGAGUAACGCGUGAGCAACCUGCCUAUGACAGUGGGAUAGCCUCGGGAAACCGGGAUUAAUACCGCAUAAAAUCGUAGAAACACAUGUUUCAACGGUCAAAGAUUUAUCGGUCAUAGAUGGGCUCGCGUCUGAUUAGCUAGUUGGUGAGAUAACAGCCCACCAAGGCGACGAUCAGUAGCCGGUCUGAGAGGAUGAACGGCCACAUUGGAACUGAGACACGGUCCAAACUCCUACGGGAGGCAGCAGCGGGGAAUAUUGCACAAUGGGGGAAACCCUGAUGCAGCGACGCCGCGUGAACGAAGAAGGUAUUCGUAUCGUAAAGUUCUGUCCUAUGGGAAGAUAAUGACAGUACCAUAGAAGAAAGCUCCGGCUAAAUACGUG
rnacentral:rRNA from 1 species